rnacentral:rRNA from 1 species
GAAGGGCGUGCUAAUCUGCGAUAAGCGCCGGUAAGGUGAUAUGAACCGUUAUAACCGGCGAUACCCGAAUGGGGAAACCCAGUGUGACUCGUCACACUAUCAUUAACUGAAUCCAUAGGUUAAUGAGGCGAACCGGGGGAACUGAAACAUCUAAGUACCCCGAGGAAAAGAAAUCAACCGAGAUUCCCCCAGUAGCGGCGAGCGAACGGGGAGGAGCCCAGAGCCUGAAUCAGCAUGUGUGUUAGUGGAAGCGUCUGGAAAGGCGCGCGAUACAGGGUGACAGCCCCGUACACAAAAGCGCAUGUGCUGUGAGCUCGAUGAGUAGGGCGGGACACGUGGUAUCCUGUCUGAAUAUGGGGGGACCAUCCUCCAAGGCUAAAUACUCCUGACUGACCGAUAGUGAACCAGUACCGUGAGGGAAAGGCGAAAAGAACCCCGGCGAGGGGAGUGAAAAAGAACCUGAAACCGU